rnacentral:lncRNA from 1 species
UUUAAAUCAUAUGAACAUAAAAUAUUUCACUUUAUUUGGAACACUAAGCCAGACAAAUUUAAAGUGCCUAUUUAUAUAAUGAAUAUAAGUUUUAGGCACUGAAAUUAUGAAAUAUUAAAGCAUUAAACCUCUCACUAAAAGCUUCACUCAUACAUAAAUUAUACUUAAACCCGAACUUGUUCUCCAGUAGAUUACUAAGAAAGGCUCAACCUGUGUUCAUUUUGUUUUGUCUUUUUACAGAUUACAACUUCUACUUUUUGGUUAAUUGAAAAAUAAACUUUGUUCAAAGUAUCGCCCUUUCUGAAACAAGCCUUACAAAGCUGGUUACAAUUUAAAUUGUAUCCUCCAGAAAAGAUAGAACAAAUAUUACAACAAAUAUUAUGGUUAAACUCAAAUAUACUAAUUGCUAAAAAAAACUACAUGAUGGACAUUUGAAAAAAAGUAUUAUAUAUAUUAAGGAUAUUAUGAGUAGUAAUGGUGGAUUUAUGUCACACAUGCAGCUAUUGAAAAUAUAUGGGAGUGUUUGCUCAGUCCAAACUUACAACCAACUGAUUGCAGCAUUACUGCAAAAAUGGAGAGGCAAGUGGAAGGGGGACAAAGUAGAGAAUGUGUUAGUCUGCUAUAUAUUAAAGACCAAAACUGUCUGAAAAAGAUUGGCAUAAAUAGAAAAAUAUACCAGUUUCAUUUGAGGACAAAAAAUGUUGACAGCUGUGCCAUUCAGGUAGCAAAAAUGUUUUACUGAUGUACCAAUUCCAUGGCACACGGUAUAUAAACUGUACACAAAACAACACUUGAUUCAACUGCAAGUUUUUCAGUUGAAAUUAUUAUACAAUAUUCUUGCGUGUGGAACUCAAAAAGGGGUGGUCUUUGGAGACUGGUGGGAUGGGCUGAGAGUAGCAGAGCACUGGGUUUAUAAAGCUCAUAAUCGGUAAUAGUUAUUAUUGAAAACACUAGGUAGGUUGUUUGUAUAUAUUUUUUUUUAAAUGUCUUUGUUAUGUAACUGUAACAAAAAAUGUACCGUGUAUGUAAAAUGUGUGUAAAAUGUAUAAGUAACAGAAAAAACUGUAAAAGCAAAAAUGUAAGGGGAUUCUAUUGUGUAUUGCUGACCAUCCAAUACACUGCUACAGCAGAACUAACCUUCAGUGUCUCUCUUUCUCUCUCUCCCUCCCUUCCCUCUGUAGUUAGUGAAGCACAGGGACAGGGUGUUUGUUGGUGGGGGACAAGGUGUUUGGUGGGGGACAAGGUGGGGGACUAUGUUGGCAUGCUGCUGGAUGAAACCCUGUUUUACUCUAGCCUUGAACAAGGAAAUAAGUUAUCUUUCGAGCUGGGCAAGGGUGUGUGUGUCUCAAGUGUGUCUGUGUGUUAGUGUGGGCCAGGCAAUCAAGGUGUUGGACCUGGGUGUAGUCACUGUGUGUGUCUGUGUGUGUGUGUGUGUGUGUGUGUGUGUGUGUGUGUGUGUGUGUGUGUGUGUGUGUGUGUGUGUGUGUGUGUGUGUGUGUGUGUGUGUGUGUGUGUGUGUGUGUGUGUGUGUGUGUGUGUGUGUGUGUGUGUGUGUGUGUGCGUCAUGCAAUCAAGUUGUGAUACCUGGGAGUGGUUACUAUGAAAGAAGUACAACCAGAGUACGACUACGGCAGUCCCCCCAAAGAUACCCCCCAACCACGUCUUCCAGAUGGAGCUGUUUGAGUUACAAGGGAGGAUGGAGGAAUCAUCUGUCGCGUCAUCACUAAGGGACUGGGAUACGCCGAGCCUAAUGAAGGAGCUGCCGUAAAAGGUGGGCUAAAGGAGUUGGUGGAGGCAGAGCUGCAAGCCAGGGAUGAGAAAGGCCGUUAUUCAACGUUUUUUUUGUGAGACUAUUAUAGACAUAGACAAAGCUCAAAAGAGAGGAAAGUAUCUGUAUCAGAGGAGGCUAUGUGUUGGCAUGUCCCCCAUCUAGUCCUGUAUAGCUGACACUAAAUGGUCCUAAAGGCCCCAUUUACAUUUGACAUUUUAGUCAUUUAGCAGACACUCUUAUCCAGAGCGACUUACAGUUAGUGCUAUCAUCUUAAGAUAGCUAGGUGGGACAACCACAUCUCACAGCCCUGGGGGACACCAGUAGUGAGAGUCCGUGGUGCAGACACAAAUCCUCUCAACGUCAUCUGGUAGGAGCGGCCUGCCAGGUAGGAUGCAAACCAAGAGUCUGCAGAGCCUGAGAUACCCAUCCCUGAAAGGGUGGAGAGGAGGAUUUGAUGGUUCACGGAGUCGAAGGCAGCGGAUAGAUCUAGGAGGAUGAGAACAGAGAAGAGUCAGCUUUGGCAGUGCGGAAAGCCUCCGUAACAGAGAAGAACAGUCUCGAUUGAGUGACCCGUCGUGAAGCCUGACUGGCUAGAGUCAAGACGAUUGUUCUGAGAGAGAUAACGAGAAAGUUGAUCAGAGACAGCACGCUCAAGUGUUUUGGAAAGAUAAAAAAGAAAGGAUACAGGUCUAUAGUUUUUGACGUCAGAUGUUGUUUGGAUGUCAGAUGUUGGUCGAGUGUUGGUUUCUUGAGGAGGGGAGCAACUCGGGCCAUUUUGAAGUCAGAGGGGACACAGCCAGUGGUCAGGGAUGAGUUGAUGAGGGAAGUGAGGGAAGUGAGGAGUGGGAGAAGGCCUCCAGAGAUGGUCUGGAGGAGGGGAUGGGGUCAAGCAGGCAGAUUGUCAGGCGGCCAGACCUCACUAGUCGCAGGAUGUCAUCUGGAGAGAGUGGGGAGAAAGAGGUCAAGGCAUAGGGUACUUCUAUGUGAGUGAGACCAGUGGACUCAAUAGGCUGAGUGAAUGAGUAGCGGAUGUCGUCAAGCUUUUUUCAAAGUGGACCGCAGAGAGGGAGGAGUGAGGGGCAGGGAGUUUACUAGGGUUAGAGGCAGAAGCUUGAAAUUCAGAGUGGUAGAAAGUGGCUUUAGAAGCUGAUACCUGGGAAGAGAAGGUAGGUAGGAGGGAGUGAAAGAAUGAUAGGUCCUCUGGAAGUUUAGUUUUCCUCCAUUUUUGCUCAGCUGCCUGCAGCCCUGUUCUGUAAACUCGCAACGAGUCACUUGGCCACGAAGCAGGAGGGGAGGGCCGACCUGGUCGGGAGAAAAGGGGACAGUGCGAGUCAUAGGAUGAGGAAAGGGAGGAGAGUAGGGUCGAAGUGGCAGAAUCAGGAGACAGGAGGGAGAAGGAUUUAGCAGAAUGGAGAUAGGAUAGAAGAGGAGAGAGUAGAGGGAGAGAGAGAGAGUGAAGAUUGUGAUGGCGCUUGACCAUCUGGGUAGAGGCUGAGUGGUUAGGGUUGGAGGAUAGGGAGACUGAAAAGGAAACAAAGUAUUGAUCAGAGACCUGGAGGGGGGUUGCAGUGAGAUUAGUAGGAGAACAGCCUCUAGUAAAGAUGAGGUCAAACGUAUUGCCUACCUUGUGAGUUGGAGGGGAUUGGGAAAGGGUGAGGUCAAAAGAGGCAAGGAGGGGAAAGAGAGCGUUGGAAAGAAAUGAAUCGAAGGCAGACGUCGGGAGGUUGAAGUCGCCAAGUACAAAGACCGAUGAAUGUUGUUAUAACUGUUGCUUCAUUAGUUAAGACACCACACCUACAACUGAAAAUCAUUUAGGGAAGAUUUAGUUAGAAAAGACUUAAUUAACCAGAAUGUUAUGGUAGAUGAGAUUUAGGAGCAUGAUGCAUCUUGAUGGAUGUCUGAUGUUGGAUAGAUACAGGGGGACAAAUCUGGAUGUUGGGAAAGGAGCCCUGGAGGUACCUGCUGUCUGGCACUGCAGAACCCCUCUGUAGAUUCUGUAGAGAUGUAACAGAGUAAACAGGGAGAGGAAAACGCCCAGUUGUGCAGCCCCGGCAUUGUGAAGGACUGGUAUAUAGGUAUGGCAACUGCUCGGCCUCCGACUGCAAGGCACUACAGAGGGUAGUGCGUACGGCCCAGUACAUCACUGGGGCCAAGCUUCCUGUCAUCCAGGACCUCUGUACCAGGCGGUGUCAGAGGAAAGCCCUAAAAAUGGUCAAAGACUCCAGCCACCCUAGUCAUAGACUGUUCUCUAUGCUACCGCACAGCAAGCAGUACCAGAGAUCAAAGUCUAGGUCCAAGAGGCUUCUAAACAGCUUCUACC